rnacentral:misc_RNA from 1 species
AAGUCAUCAUCAAGUGUGACUUCAUAUGAAUCAUCUUCAUGUUCAUUUUUUUUCUCUUCCGCAUGUUCUGAUUCUGAAAUAACUGCUGCCCUCUUCUCAUUAUGCUGCCUCACUUGCUCUUCUAAGCGACCUCUCUGAUCCAUAGGAUCAGUCAAUUCGGAAAAUGCAUUGGCCAGUUCACGACCACAGAUGAAGAGCUCAAAUCUCUCAGUCAAGCCAAUGUGCCUUCGAUGUGGUUUGGCUAAAGGAGAUAUCUCAAUAGGAUAGUCCAAAACAAAUGUGGGUUGCAAGAGCUUCGGCUCUACAACAAUUUCAAAAACCUCAUUAAGGAGGUGGCCGACAGAAGGGCAUGCUUCAAUGGCAGAUUUGUCUUUAUUUUCAAGCACAGGUCCAAGUGUCUUCAAAGUAGUAUCUUUAGCUAGUUUUAGAUCAUUACUCAGCUCACUGAAAUCAAUCUCUGUGGCCUCUUUUACAAGAUUGUGCAUAGUUUCCCUCCUCCAAGGCCGGUCUAGACAAAUCUCUACCCCCUGGUAAUCAAUGGUAAGCUUCCCAUGAACAGCAAGAGCACAGUGAGUAACAAUUUCCUCUGCCAUGUUCAUCAUGCUUUGGUAGUCUGAAAAUGCUUCAUACAUCUCUAUUGUGGUGAAUUCUGGAUUAUGACGAGUUGAAAUGCCCUCAUUUCUGAAAAUUCGUCCAAUCUCAUAUACUUUCUCAAAUCCCCCAACCAACAUUCUCUUUAAGUGAAGCUCAGUUGCAAUUCUCAGAUAAAGAUCCCUUCCAAGAGAAUUAUGAUAUGUUACAAAUGGCCUAGCUUCUGCUCCACCAGCUGCUCCCUGUAGAACUGGAGUUUCAACUUCGACAAAACCUAAUGACUCCACUGUCUUGCGAAUCUCAGAAACAAUCUGGCAAAAGAGGUGUAAGACAGUUAAUCUUAAAUUGCUGAACCAUAAGAAACAAAAGGAUAAACAGAUUCGAUGGCAAUCCUUUAGUGGUUUCAACAAGAAGAUAAAAAUUUCUUCAAAUAAAAUUCAUUGAGUAUCUUAAAAGCAGAAAACUUAAGGGGGCUGAGGCUUCUGCAAUCAAAGUUCGAUAUUUAGACUAAGUAUUACAAUUAAGAUUUCAAAAUAGUUUGAUCCCAUAAUUUAAAAAUGAACGCCGAGCAAGAAAGUAAAGAACUUCUCAAAACAGUCAAAAAGCAUGCAGAUAAAAAGUGAUUAUGGCAUAAUCAUGAACAAUCAAGUAAAGUUCUGUAUGGUGUACAGAAAAGUAGAUGCUGGAGUCAAUAGUAGGAAAACCCUAAUUUAUUCAGCAUUAAAUUUCAGCUCAUUUGUAUCAAAAUUUCUUCCAGAUUCUAAUUCACUGGAAUUAGGCAGACAUAUCAACUUAUUCAUCAAAUGCUUCAAGAAAUAUUGUUUACUUCUAGGAUGAUAUAUGGUUGCCUGGUCAAAGUUCCUUCUGGGUUUGUAUAUCCAUAACAUCAAAUGGCACCAAAUAAAUGAAAUUUCUACUAAUAACUUUUUUUAAAUCGUCAUAAUUGUCUACUUAUGAAGAAUACCUUAACCAUAUUGAUACAAAUAGCCUCAUAGCUCAACAUCAUUAACCCAACCCAAGUUAACCUCAUUCACAAUCUAGUUAAGCUCAGUCAUAUGGGUCCUUUUCCUCCAAAUUACUUGACUUUGUGCCACACUUUCAGAAGGGGGGGAGAUUUAAACCCUUAAGGCCAUUGCUUCCCAAAUCUUCAUGGUAGUCUUCAUAAGGUAUAAAGCUCAAUGUAAUAAUCACCGGAAAAAAAAAUUGUACAGAAAAAUCAUGAAAGUUGCAACUGUACAAAUCUAAGUUCAACAAAAUAGCAAAUCAAAUAGUAAUAAUAAGAUGGGAAGUGAGGAUAAUCCACCUUAGCUCUUUUACGGAACACAUCAGCAACUUCAGGAUUUGCAAUCAUAUCAACAUAUCGUUGGCGGUAACGCUUAGCUACAUCAGUUAGGCCAUGAUAUUUGUCCGGCAAUGGAAGUAGGGAUUUUGUAAGAAUAGUGAAGAACUAACACAAACUGAAAUUUCACCUUUCUCCGUGCGUUUCAUUGAACCGCUGGCACCCAAUAUAUCACCAAUAUCAACAAGUGUCUUCAAUUGCUCAAACUGACCAUUUAAGAGCCUUUCCUUUUCACAGUAAAGCUGAAUGGUCCUUGAGUCAUCUCUUAGUGUCAAAAAGGCAAGCUUUCCAAAUUCUCUGCGAGUAACAAUUCUGCCUGUUAUUGACACAUGAUCGCUCAUGUUACUUGACUCUUCACUAUUGGCUAGAUGCCUGUAUAUCUCUUGUAAUUGAUUAGCCGUAUGAGUCCUAUCCCACUUAUAGGCGUAGGGCUCAAGGGCAUUGCUCCUCAGUUCUUCAAUCUUUUUAAGCCUAAUAGCGCAGACAGCUUCACGGUCUGACGUGGAGGAAGAAGAAGAAGAGGAGGAGCAGGACCUGCGUUUGCGUCCGCCGACCCUGGAGGAGGAGGAGCGGAGAACCAG